UGCCUUAUCUGGCUUCAGUGGGAUAGGAUGA
rnacentral:piRNA from 1 species